rnacentral:rRNA from 1 species
GACAGAGGGUGCAAACGUUGCUCGGAAUCACUGGGCGUAAAGGGUGCGUAGGCGGGUCUUUAAGUCAGGGGUGAAAUCCUGGAGCUCAACUCCAGAACUGCCUUUGAUACUGAAGAUCUUGAGUUCGGAAGAGGUGAGUGGAACUGCGAGUGUAGAGGUGAAAUUCGUAGAUAUUCGCAAGAACACCAGUGGCGAAGGCGGACUCACUGGCCCGAUACUGACGCUGA